rnacentral:misc_RNA from 1 species
GACGAAGAACGCAGCGAAAUGCGAUAAGUAAUGUGAAUUGCAGAAUUCAGUGAAUCAUCGAAUCUUUGAACGCACAUUGCGCCCGCCAGUAUUCUGGCGGGCAUGCCUGUUCGAGCGUCAUUUCAACCAUCAAGCCCCCGGCUUGUGUUGGGGACCUGCGGCUGCCGCAGGCCCUGAAAACCAGUGGCGGGCUCGCUAGUCACUCCGAGCGUAGUAAUACAUCUCGCUCAGGGCGUGCUGCGGGUUCCGGCCGUUAAAAAGCCUUAUUUACCCAAGGUUGACCUCGGAUCAGGUAGGAAGACCCGCUGAACUUAAGCAUAUCAAUAAGCGGAGGA